rnacentral:misc_RNA from 1 species
GAUGAAGAACGCAGUGAACUGCGAUAAGUAAUGUGAAUUGCAGAAUUCAGUGAAUCAUCGAGUCUUUGAACGCACAUUGCGCCCCCUGGCAUUCCGGGGGGCAUGCCUGUCCGAGCGUCAUUGCUGCCCUUCAAGCCCGGCUUGUGUGUUGGGUCGUCGUCCCCCCCGGGGGACGGGCCCGAAAGGCAGCGGCGGCACCGCGUCCGGUCCUCGAGCGUAUGGGGCUUUGUCACCCGCUCGAUUAGGGCCGGCCGGGCGCCAGCCGGCGUCUCCAACCUUCUAUUUUACCAGGUUGACCUCGGAUCAGGUAGGGAUACCCGCUGAACUUAAGCAUAUCAAUAAGCGGAGGA